UCAUAAACUAAGAAACCCUACAUCUCAAAUACUCAUCUCGAAAAAGUCUAUUAGGCGCAGCUUAUUACAUCACCUAGAAAAAUUAUGCCUUUGAUCCUCCAGUUGCUCAGACCGGCGUCCACCAGUCAACCUUCCACUCUCUCAGCCUUGGUUGUACUACUUUGGUCGCCUCCUCCGCUUUUGGGUUCCCGCAGCAUCAAGAAAACGGUGAAUUCAUUCCUUGACGAAAAGGUAAAGAGAUCUUCAGUCUAUCACCACUUAUCUAUUAACUGUUUUUAAUCUAUUAUCUAACUCUUGGUUAAAUAAUCUAAUUUGUUUCAAUCCAUGAAUUCAGUGUUAUCAGGUUUUUGCGUUAUUUAUCAUGUACCAUUUAUAAAAACAAACCUUCAUUUUAAUAGGAUAAGCUCUAUUUUUAAGUUUCAUGUUGAGCUUGCUGUGGAUGACGGCAAAGAUAACGUAACGUUUGUAGUCUUCGAUAAGGAGAUGACAAACCUGACCAAAUACGAAGCUGCUGCUCUUGCGCUUGAGGAGAUAGCAAACGGUGGGGAGGAAGAGCUUCCUUGAAGGGCUUUAAGAUUUUAAACUUAAGCAGCCGCACCGGUGGAAGUAAUACCAUCACUAACAUCGUCUACAAAGAGGCUUUUAAUGGCCUACCUCAAAUACCCCUGUGUAUGAGGAAGCCGAAGACGUUGAAGAAAAUCAGUGAAUUCACCGUAACCCAAAGGAGAAAAGGCAUAGCAGCUAACUCUUCUGUGCUACAAAAAGGAGGCAAGUUCAUCACCAACUUCACUUGCGUAAAUAAUAGAAUCAAACACAGGCACAGCAGGGAAAUUCAGAGACUCUUUAGGCCAAACGUUGUUACGACCCAAAGUAUUUAGUAUUUGUAACAAAAAAAUCACUUCAUUUUAAACCCGUUAAGAUCCAAACACAACUAAAACUCCCGGAUACAAUUUU